rnacentral:lncRNA from 1 species
AAGUGCACACUUAGAGCCCUCUCUGUCCCAAAUGUCCAUACACUCAACCUGUGCUACGUACAGCCUUUUGUACUCCUUACUGGUCUAUUCAGCCACAUUAGACACAUUGACCACAACAUAGUGAUGCCAUUUUUUACUCUCUUCGAGUAAAAAGGACAACAACCCACCAACUAGGGCUGAGUCCAUCCUUCAUUAGGGAAAUGGCUAUACAGCUGUGAUAAAUGAAUGCAAUGGACUAUCUCUGGGCUAUAAGAAACUAUAAAUACAGAGAAGCAUGGGAAGAAGAAUACGAAGCUAAGAUUUGUCAGAGAACAGAAACCCAAGUAUGGACUUUGAUCUUCAGAUGGGUAACUACAUACAGCCAUUACUCCCCAGGGACUGGCCCAGGGAUGAUAGCCUCUCUGCUCAAGUGAUGGUAGCAGCCAGAAGGCAGAGUGGUAAAGACUAUCGAUCUGUUCGGAGCCCCACAGCUGAGGAGAAUCUGAGGCCAGAUUUUAACCCAGGACCAUGCUCUCAGUUCCCUGAGCCACCCAUUUGCAAAAUACCUUCUCGAUCUCGGCCCAGGUGAGAUUACAAGGCAUUCUGGGGAAGUGGAGCAAAGGCUUGUGGGGAUUGUAGUCUUGUAUUCGAAUCUAUUAUUUACACCUGUCAUACACUUCUUGGCUCAUUUAAUUUCCCAACCCUGACUUCUGGAGGAAAUACUUAAAGUUUUAAACUAAUCUCAAGUCUAGUUAUCUCCAAAAGGAGGGAAUCAGAGGUAUU